AGAGUUUGAUCAUGGCUCAGGAUGAACGCUAGCGGCAGGCUUAACACAUGCAAGUCGAGGGGUAUGGUUCUUCGGAACCAGAGACCGGCGCACGGGUGCGUAACGCGUAUGCAAUCUACCUUUUACAGAGGGAUAGCCCAGAGAAAUUUGGAUUAAUACCUCAUAGUAUUAUUGAAUGGCAUCAUUUAAUAAUUAAAGUCACAACGGUAAAAGAUGAGCAUGCGUCCCAUUAGCUAGUUGGUAAGGUAACGGCUUACCAAGGCAACGAUGGGUAGGGGUCCUGAGAGGGAGAUCCCCCACACUGGUACUGAGACACGGACCAGACUCCUACGGGAGGCAGCAGUGAGGAAUAUUGGUCAAUGGGCGCAAGCCUGAACCAGCCAUGCCGCGUGCAGGAUGAAGCAUCUAUGGUGUGUAAACUGCUUUUGUACGAGAAGAAACACUACUUCGUGAAGUAGCUUGACGGUAUCGUAAGAAUAAGGACCGGCUAACUCCGUGCCAGCAGCCGCGGUAAUACGGAGGGUCCAAGCGUUAUCCGGAAUCAUUGGGUUUAAAGGGUCCGUAGGCGGUUUUGUAAGUCAGUGGUGAAAGCCCAUCGCUCAACGGUGGAACGGCCAUUGAUACUGCAAGACUUGAAUUAUUAGGAAGUAACUAGAAUAUGUAGUGUAGCGGUGAAAUGCUUAGAGAUUACAUGGAAUACCAAUUGCGAAGGCAGGUUACUACUAAUGGAUUGACGCUGAUGGACGAAAGCGUGGGGAGCGAACAGGAUUAGAUACCCUAGUAGUCC
rnacentral:rRNA from 1 species